rnacentral:rRNA from 1 species
UACGUAGGUGGCGAGCGUUGUCCGGAUUUACUGGGCGUAAAGAGCGCGCAGGCGGUCGUCCAAGUCGCGUGUGAAAGCCCCCGGCUCAACUGGGGAGUGUCACGCGAUACUGAUCGACUCGAAGGCAGGAGAGGGAAGCGGAAUUCCCGGUGUAGUGGUGAAAUGCGUAGAUAACGGGAGGAACACCAGGGGCGAAGGCGGCUUCCUGGCCUGUUCUUGACGCUGAGGCGCGAAAGCGAGGGUAGCAAACGGG